rnacentral:rRNA from 1 species
GGAAUCACUGGGCUUAAAGCGCGUGUAGGCGGGUCGUUAAGUGUCCGCGUGAAAUCCCACGGCUCAACCGUGGAACUGCCGGGCAUACUGGCGGCCUUGAGGCACCCAGGGGCGAGCGGAACAAAUGGUGGAGCGGUGAAAUGCGUAGAUAUCAUUUGGAACGCCGACGGUGAAAACAGCUCGCUGGGGGUGUCCUGACGCUGAGACGCGAAAGCCAGGGGAGCGAACGGGAUUAGAUACCCCGGUAGUCCUGGCCCUAAACGAUGUCCACUAGGUCGCGGCGGUUUUGACGCCGUCGCGGCCGGAGCAAAAGUGUGAAGUGGACCGCCUGGGAAGUACGGUCGCAAGGCUACAACUCAAAGGAAUUGACGGGGGCUCACACAAGCGGUGGAGCAUGUGGUUUAAUUCGAAGCAACGCGCGGAACCUUACCUGGGCUGGACAUGCCCGGAUUACCCUCGUGAAAGCGAGGUACACGCCCGCAAGGGCGCGGAACGGGUACAGGUGCUGCAUGGCUGUCGUCAGCUCGUGUCGUGAGAUGUCGGGUUAAGUCCCUUAACGAGCGAAACCUUUGCCCUCAGUUACCAGCGGGUGAUGCCGGGGACUCUGAGGGGACUGCCGGUGUCAAACCGGAGGAAGGUGGAGAUGACGUCAAGUCCUCAUGGCCUUUAUGCCCAGGGCCACACACGUGCUACAAUGGGGCGGACAGAGCGAGCCUAACCCGCGAGGGCAUGGAAAUCGCACAAAUCGCCCCUCAGUUCAGAUCGGAGGCUGCAACCCGCCUCCGUGAAGCUGGAA